rnacentral:rRNA from 1 species
UACAGAGGGUGCAAGCGUUACUCGGAAUUACUGGGCGUAAAGCGUGCGUAGGCGGUUUGUUAAGUCCGCUGUGAAAGCCCUGGGCUCAACCUGGGAAUUGCAGUGGAUACUGGCAAGCUAGAGUGCGGUAGAGGAUGGUGGAAUUCCCGGUGUAGCGGUGAAAUGCGUAGAGAUCGGGAGGAACACCUGUGGCGAAGGCGGCCGACUGGGCCGACCCUGACGCUGAGGCGCGAAGGCGUGGGGAGCGAACGGG